UCUCUGGAAUUGGUUGGCCGGUGGUCGUGGGGAACUCAAGCUCACCGAAAAAUCCUCGCCUUGGCCUCGUCCCUCCCUGCAAACGUCUCUUUCACUGUCCACCCCCCUCCCCUGUCCACCCCCAGACAGACGAGC